AAGACCUGUGGAAAAAGUCCAAAAAUAAAAUUAUAACAAUAACCCAAAAACGGGAGAUUUAUUACAUUUAACCUAAGAUAGAUCAAACCAUUGUGUCCAAAACUUUUGAAAGUGAAAUGUGGUAAAUUUAAUUAUUUUUCCCACACUUUUAAAGGUUUUGGACACAACGGUUUGAUCUAUCUUAGGUUAAUUGUAAUAAAUCUCCAGCUUUUGGGGGUGUUAUACUUUUAUUUUUUGGACUUUUUCCACAGUUUUU